rnacentral:rRNA from 1 species
UACGUAGGGUGCGAGCGUUAAUCGGAAUUACUGGGCGUAAAGCGUGCGCAGGCGGUUGUGCAAGUCAGAUGUGAAAUCCCCGGGCUCAACCUGGGAAUUGCAUUUGUGACUGCACGGCUAGAGUGUGUCAGAGGGGGGUAGAAUUCCACGUGUAGCAGUGAAAUGCGUAGAGAUGUGGAGGAAUACCGAUGGCGAAGGCAGCCCCCUGGGAUAACACUGACGCUCAUGCACGAAAGCGUGGGGAGCAAACAGG